ensembl:lncRNA
CUGCUAGAAACACAUGGUGAUAUGAAUGUGAAAGCGUUGCUCACUAUACAGGAAAGAAACUAGCUGACCUCCAGUUACCACUUUUGAAAACUUUCACAGAAAUACCAACAACAAUACAGAUGCUGUCUUUACUGUUCUGUUGACGUCAUGGGGAGCUUUUCUCUCCUGAGAAAUGAAGAAUCCAAUCUAUACUUUGAUGAAAAACUGCAAGAAUGUCUCAUGUCUGAAAGCCUUGUGUCUAGGGAGACAAUAAUGAAAAGGCCUUCAUGUCAGACUGUGCAUUACAUCUAGCUGGUGGAAAAAUCCUUGCGAGCACGAACCAGGCAUUAAAUAUUAAAAAGAAUGCUGUGGUUGAUUUUUAUGUGUCUGUCAUUCUGUCUAUCAAUUCCUUACGAUGCAUCCAAACAUUAUUACAAGAGCUGGUAUCAAGAACAUCUCCAAGUUUAGAGUUUUUUCCUUGAUGUGCACUUACAGGAUGUCCAGAUAGCUGAAGCUGAUGAGAUUGUCCCAAGUGCAUAGUGAAUAUGACUCAAAAACAAAUCAAUAGAUAGUUUAUGUAUGUCAUUUUUCAAAAUCAUACAUUGUGAUGACUAUAAAUGUAACUUAAAAACUCCAUCAGUGCUAGGGUGAACAUACGUCCUCUUUUCCUGGCUGGGAUUUCUAAAUUGCCUAAAAUGUCCAGGUUUUGGCUUUGUUUUCCUAUUGGUAUAUUAUCAUACAUUAUAUGUAUAUGUAUUUGCAUUGCUUUGAUGUUCUCUGUAGAUCCUGCCUUCUUGCACGCCACGAUUGGCCGAUUUUAUACAACGCCUGCAUGCUAUUGGUCAAAGUACUUUUCAGUCAUUACCUUCAGCAAGUAUGAAAACAAUAGGAAAACAAAGCCAAAACCCAGACAUUUUAUGCAAUUUAUAAACACGUCUGGGAAAAAGAGGACGCAUGGUCACCCUAAUGAACAAAAAGGAACAAAACAGACAUGCCUUUAACCAAAAUGCCAAAAACAACAAAACAAAACAGUGCAUGUAUUUACAUAUGAAUUGACACUGCAGUAAAAAUUGCAGCCAGAGUUCUGAAUUUCAGCCAAAAGCUGAUCAAGACUUCUUCAUCGGUUCCCCAGGAAGUAGGUCGGGUUGGUUUUGAGAGGUCUGAACAGGUGCGAAUCCUCCAUCCACAGUCCAAACAAACUCUCUGGCAAAAGAGAGACGCCUACCUGUGAUUUCUGGCUUUCGUGCAGGCGUUCGGGAUCUCCGAGCAGGCUCUCUAAAAGUGUGUCUCGUGGUUUGUUUGAGCGGUUUGUGGAGGCCCUAUUGGCAGCAUGGAGGAAUAUGGAGGAUGAGGGGUUGGAGGUGAGGAAAUCUAGACCUGCGUCGAGUAGGAGCGGUGCAGAGCGGUGGAGCGUCCCACGGAGUGGGCGGCGCAGUGGCACGCGUGCUGGGACGGCUGGUCUAGACUUCGCUGGUAAUGGAGCGAGACGGUACAAGGACAUCGGGGGGGACGGGGAACCGAUGAGGCUGAUGGUCAUGUGAUCUCAGUGAAUGGAGAUCCCCUUGGAGUCUGUAUGGGGGGAGAGAGAGAGAGUGUGAGGGGAGAGAGAGAGAGAGAAAGGAUGAGAAACCAAGACUGGAAGGUGGAAACUGUGUUCGGAUAGAAUAAAAUUAGUGAUGCACCAAAAUUAAUUAUUUAACUAC